AUGGCAGAGGCUAUACUGCUCGCUGUUUCGAAGAUUGGGGCGGUCAUUUUGAAUGAAGCUGUCUUCGCUGUCAUAGACAAGCUAUCGAGGAAGGUUGAUAAUCUAAAGGAAUUGCCGGCAAAGAUCAAAAGAAUCAAUACAGAACUGAAUACGAUGAAUGAUGUGAUUCAACACUUGGGUACAACACAACUCAGCAACAAGGUCAUCAAUGGUUGGAUUGGAAACGUGAGGAAGCUGGCCUACCAUGUUGAGGAUGUUAUUGACAAGUACUCGUAUGAGGCUCUUAAGCUCAAGGAUGAAGGCUUCCUAGAUCGGUACAUCUUCAGAGGUUCACGCCAUAUCAAGGUCUUCAGUAAAAUUGCCGAGGAAGUUGUAGAGCUAGAGGAGGAGAUUAGGCAUGUCAAAGGACUGCGUGAUUAUUGGAGUGAUGCAGUCCAACCUGCUAAAAAUGGGCAUGCAGAGAUUGAUAGGCAGCGAUCUGGAGGCUGCUUCCCGGAACAUGUUAGUGACAAGGAUCUUGUGGGAAUUGAUGAAAACAGAAGCAAAUUGACCGAAUGGCUGACCACCAAUGAGAACGAAAGCACAGUGAUUACAGUUUCUGGUAUGGGAGGCUUGGGUAAAACAACCCUUGUGAAAAAUGUGUAUGAUCGGGAGAAAACCAACUUCCCUGAUGCGCAUGCUUGGAUUGUGGUGUCACAGGCAUAUGAUGUAGUGGAUUUACUGAAGACAUUGCUCACUAAGAUACACGACACACAAGAGUCACCUCCGCCGUCACCUCUCAGGGCGGGCGCCAAACCUCAUGUUUAUGAGUUAACAGGGGCGAUAAAGAAGAUAUUGCAAGAUAGGAAGUGCUUGAUCGUGCUUGAUGAUGUGUGGGAUAAAGAAGCAUAUUCUCAGAUGUUCACUGCAUUUCGGGAUCUCCAAGGAUGCCGUGUUAUGAUCACAACACGGAAGGAAGAUGUUGCAGCUCUUGCCCCACCGAGGCGUCGUCUAGUACUGCAACCACUGGGAAGCGUCGAGUCAUUCAAGUUAUUCUGCUCCAGGGCUUUCCACAACAGCCUGGACCACAAUUGCCCUCCAGAGCUUCAUGCGGUAGCUACUGCUAUAGUUGAGCGGUGUCGUGGCCUACCAUUGGCCAUUGUGUCGUCUGGCAGCCUAUUAUCGAGGAAGCAACCGGCAGAGCAUGCCUGGAAUGAUGUGUACAACCAUCUCCGAAGCGAGCUGCGGGGGGAUAACCAUGUCCAAGCUAUACUUAAUCUGAGCUACCAUGACUUGCCUGGUGAUCUCAGGAACUGCUUCCUAUACUGUAGCUUGUUCCGUGAAGACUAUGCAAUGUCACGGGAGAACCUUGUGCGGUUGUGGGUUGCAGAAGGGUUUGCGAUGAAGAAAGAUGACAGCACGCCGGAGGAAGUGGCUGAGGGGUAUCUCAUGGAACUCAUCGGUCGGAAUAUGUUGGAAGUUGUGGAGAGGGAUGAGCUCUUCGGGGUUAGUACAUGUAAGAUGCAUGACCUUGUUCGUGACCUGGCUCUUGCUGUUGCUAAAGAGGAGAGGUUUGGCUCCGCGAGUGAUCAGAGCGAAGUGAAGGACAUGGAUAAAGAAGUUCGCCGAUUCUCAACAUGUGGUUGGAGAGAUAAUAUGGCAGCUGCUCCAGAAGUGGAAUUUCCACGACUCAGGACCGUGAUAUCACUCUCACCGGCUUUGUCCUCUACCAACAUGAUUUCCUCAGUUUUGUCUGGAUCCAACUACCUUACAGUUCUCGAGCUUCAAGACUCUGCAAUAGUCCAAGUGCCAGAAUCCAUCGGGAAUCUGUUCAAUCUUCGCUACAUUGGCUUAAGGCGCACCAAAGUUCAGUCACUGCCAGAUACUAUUGAAAAACUCUCAAACCUUGAGACGUUGGAUGUCAAGCAAACAAGAAUAGAAAAGCUACCACCAGGUAUUGUAAAGGUUGAGAGGCUACGACACCUUUUAGCUGACAAGUUUGCUGACGAGAAGCAGGUGGAGUUCCGGUACUUUGUCGGAGUGGAAGCGCUGAAAAAGCUUUCCAACUUUAAAGAAUUGCAAACUCUUGAGACCGUCCAUGCCAGCAAGGACUUGCCACUACAACUGAAAGAAAUGAAAGAGCUGCGGACUGUUUGGAUUGAUAACAUCAAUGGAUCUAAUUGUGAUGACCUUUUCAAGACCCUCUCAGAUAGGCCCCAACUUUCCAGCUUACUUCUCUCUGCAUGUGAUGUCAAGGAGACAAUUUCUUUCCAAGCACUCAAGCCAGUGUCCAAAAAUUUCCACAGACUAAUCAUUAGAGGUGGCUGGGCCGAUGGGACACUCAAUUGUCCAAUAUUUCAGGGUCAUGGGAAGAAUCUCAAGUAUCUCGCGCUAAGUUGGUGCGAUCUUGGGAGUGAAGACCCCCUGGAGUUACUUGCAACUCAUCUGCCAGCUCUCACUUACCUCACUCUAAACAAGGUGAGAUGUGCAGGUGCGUUGGUUCUUUCUGCAGGGUGCUUCCCUCAGCUUAAGACACUCGUCUUGAAGAACAUGCUUGAUGUCAAGAAACUGGACAUUUUAGAGGGCGCCAUUCCAUACAUUGAUGGGAUCUACAUCAUGUCACUCUCGGAGCUGAGUACGGUCCCUUGUGGCAUCGAAGCCCUUGGAUCUCUCAAGAAGCUCUGGAUGCUGUACCUGCACAAGGGCUUCAAGGAUGACUGGGAUCAGAAGGAGAUGCACAACAGGAUGAAGCAUGUUCUAGAGCUCCGUGCCUAG
rnacentral:rRNA from 1 species